rnacentral:rRNA from 1 species
CCUACGGGUCGCACCAGUGGGGAAUAUUGGACAAUGGGCGCAAGCCUGAUCCAGCCAUACCGCGUGGGUGAAGAAGGCCUUCGGGUUGUAAAGCCCUUUUGUUGGGAAAGAAAUCCAGCUGGCUAAUACCCGGUUGGGAUGACGGUACCCAAAGAAUAAGCACCGGCUAACUUCGUGCCAGCAGCCGCGGUAAUACGAAGGGUGCAAGCGUUACUCGGAAUUACUGGGCGUAAAGCGUGCGUAGGUGGUCGUCUAAGUCCGUUGUGAAAGCCCUGGGCUCAACCUGGGGACUGCAGUGGAUACUGGGCGACUAGAGUGUGGUAGGGGGUAGCGGAAUUCCUGGUGUAGCAGUGAAAUGCGUAGAGAUCAGGAGGAACAUCCAUGGCGAAGGCAGCUACCUGGACCAACACUGACACUGAGGCACGAAAGCGUGGGGAGCAAACAGGAUUAGAUACCCCUGUAGUC